CCACGUGCCAUGUGUACACACGUGCCAGGCGCUGUCUUGAGACAUUCGCGCAGUGCACGGCACUGGGGACACGUGGCACUGG
ensembl:miRNA MIR3177 microRNA 3177